CACCGGCGGCCCGAGUGGUGAUCGUGAUUAUUGGGUCUAAAGGGUCCGUAGCCGGUUUGGUCAGUCCUCCGGGAAAUCUGAUAGCUCAACUAUUAGGCUUUCGGGGGAAACUGGCGAUCUUGGAACCGGGAGAGGUAAGACGUACUUCGGGGGUAGGAGUGAAAUCUUGUAAUCCCUGUGGGACCACCUGUGGCGAAGGCGUCUUACCAGAACGGGUUCGACGGUGAGGGACGAAAGCUGGGGGCACGAA
rnacentral:rRNA from 2 species